ACCAGCAGCCGUAUCGCCCCGCAGCUCACAGCCGGCAGCCCCACUGGAGCUCAGCAGGUGUGAGCCUGGUCAGUACCUGGAUGGGAGACCUCCUGGGAAAAACUAAGGUUGCUGCUGGAA
rnacentral:rRNA from 1 species